GAUGAAGAACGUAGCGAAAUGCGAUACGUAAUGUGAAUUGCAGAAUUCAGUGAAUCAUCGAAUCUUUGAACGCAUAUUGCGCUCUCUGGUAUUCCGGAGAGCAUGCUUGUUUGAGUAUCAGUAAACACCUCAACUUCCAUAUCUUUUUUUGAAAUGGGAGUUGGACUUGAGUGAUCCCAACGCUUUUCCUCACCGAAAAGUGGCGGGUUACUUGAAAUGCAGGUGCAGCUGGACUUUUCUCUGAGCUAUAAGCAUAGCUAUUUAGUCUGCCUAAAAAACAGAUUAUUACCUUUGCUGCAGCUAACAUAAAGGAGAUUAGUUCUUGUGCUGACUGAUGCAGGAUUCACAAAGACAGCUUCGGCCGACUUUGUAAACUCGAUCUCAAAUCAAGUAAGACUACCCGCUGAACUUAAGCAUAUCAAUAAGCGGAGGA
rnacentral:misc_RNA from 1 species